rnacentral:tRNA from 1 species
AGCUGUUUGGCUGACAGGUAAGCAGGUGCUUUGAAAGCAUUUUAGAGAAGUUCGAAUCUUCUAACAGUUU